AAUUGGAGGGAUUCAUAAGGUUGGUCUUAACCUGUCGCUGAAGACACUAACUCUAUAUAAAGACAACUCCUUCUCUCGUUAGUGAACCUAGCAACUCCACUAACCUACUCUUCUAACAAAACCCAAUCAUAAUGGACGAAGUGCGUCAAUGCUGUAAGAAUCUGUACUGCGGUACUACAGAUGACUAUCCUGAUGACUAUUGCCAUGAUGGCGGAUCAUGCUUUUGCUCCUUUUGUUGCUGGUUUUGGACAAUCGCCAUCUUCCUUCUGUUCGUAGCAGUCGUUACACUAAUAAUCCUCGCUGUUCUAAACAUCAUAUAGAGUCCAUUAAAAGUACUAUAAUUACCAGUAAAAGAAGACUUAAAUUUUAAAACUCCUUCUAAUGAAAAUUGUUGCUGCUCAA